GAGGGUGCUGAGGGAAAUCCUGGAACUGACUCUUCCUGCUUGGAAACCUUGCUGUCACUUCGGGAUCCUGGAAAGCUCAUCACUCUCUUUGCUGCGAAGGGUGUUUCUUUAACUGCAACAAAGUUGCGACGGGGAUGCAGUUGAAGACAACAUAGCUGAGACUCCUGCAGUCAGUGGGAGAUGCUCCCAGCUGUGGCCACACCCACAGACCUGGAUUCUCUCCUGGAAGGAACAGAUCCAUGAUGUGUCAUUUUGCGAACUAGAGCAUAUGAUGCCAUGGAAGCUCUUGACCCAGCUAGAGUGCGAUGCCCUGCCAGAGGCAUUGGAAGGAUCCAGAAAGCUGGACAGGAACAACGCUGAAAAGAUGUGGCUCUCCCUCACUAGAACGUCAGUUCCACACCAAAGGGUCCUUUUCACUUCACU
rnacentral:lncRNA from 1 species